ACGCUGGCGGCAGGCCUAACACAUGCAAGUCGAACGGUAACAGGAAGCAGCUUGCUGCUUCGCUGACGAGUGGCGGACGGGUGAGUAAUGUCUGGGAAACUGCCUGAUGGAGGGGGAUAACUACUGGAAACGGUGGCUAAUACCGCAUAACGUCGCAAGACCAAAGAGGGGGACCUUCGGGCCUCUUGCCAUCAGAUGUGCCCAGAUGGGAUUAGCUUGUUGGUGAGGUAACGGCUCACCAAGGCGACGAUCCCUAGCUGGUCUGAGAGGAUGACCAGCCACACUGGAACUGAGACACGGUCCAGACUCCUACGGGAGGCAGCAGUGGGGAAUAUUGCACAAUGGGCGCAAGCCUGAUGCAGCCAUGCCGCGUGUAUGAAGAAGGCCUUCGGGUUGUAAAGUACUUUCAGCGGGGAGGAAGGUGUUGUGGUUAAUAACCGCAGCAAUUGACGUUACCCGCAGAAGAAGCACCGGCUAACUCCGUGCCAGCAGCCGCGGUAAU
rnacentral:rRNA from 1 species